GAUAAUAGGAAAUUACAGUACGACCUUAUAGUUGAUAAUGGGAAAUUAGUCCACUGAGCUCUAGCCAUUCCCUAACAAUUAACAUAGUGAAACGUUAGUUUCUAAUGACUUUUGCUUCUCCAAGUAACAGACAAGCUUCAAUUCCAUACUGUUCCAUUCCAUCCUACCGGUCGAAUACACAUUAAGAAUUCUGCUUCCAAUUCCAUAUUUGAUGGGAUAAAUAAACACAUUGACCAGUAAUUAUUAGGUCCACGCUCCACUGUAGACUUCUGUUUUGAUGCUCAAAAUUAUGUUUUGAAGCCUUUGUUUUGUCCCGAUCACACCCCAAUUAUUAUGUUCUUUCUUCCCUGGAUUGUGUUACAACACUUUCCAACACUUCUCUUGCCACCAACUCACUCGGAGAUGGCAGGGGGUUCAAAUUCAAAGAAGCCUAUCAAUAGAGGCACCGAUUCCACAAACACACAGGAAAGGAAUAAACAGACGCAAGUGCAAGAACAUGCUACACUCCAGGACGGACAUUUCCACGAUGUAAUCCCAUACUUUGUCGAUGAUUGCUCUCUGCCCAAGUCUAGGUCAAAGGUCUCAGAGGUGAGUUUAUGCUUCGGUAGAGCUGGUACUAAUCGAUUUGAGAAGAAAGUAUAUAUUUUGGAAACUCUUGGGAGUAGCAUGACAAAUUUAAAUACUAGUGGUGGAUUUGUUUCUGGAGCUGCGAUAAAGGGGAAUCAAAUUUCUAUCUUAGCAUUUGAGGUUGCGAACACAAUUGUCAAAGGUUUUAAUCUACAGCAAUCUCUUUCCUCAGAAAGUAUUAGGCAUUUAAAAGAAGAGGUGCUUCUUUCAGAGGCUGUACAAGAGUUAGUAUCAGAGGAUAUGGAUGAACUUCUUAGGAUUGUUGCAGCAGACAAGAGGCAGGAAUUGAAAGUUUUUUCUGAUGAGGUGGUUCGGUUUGGAAAUCGUUCAAAGAAUCCUCAAUGGCACAACUUAGACCGUUAUUUUGAGAAGAUUAGCAGAGAAUUAAAUGCUCCAAGACUGUCAAGAGAUGAGGCAGAAUCAAUCAUGCAACAAUUGAUGACUUUGGUUCAGUUUUCAGUUGAAAUGUACCAUGAAUUGAAUGCUUUGGAUACAUUUGAACAAGAUUUUCAGCGCAAGUCUGAGGAGGAUCAAAGAGGUGAUAACCUUGCGUUGUUAAGGGUGGAAAUUAAAAGUCAAAGGAAGUACAUUAGACAUUUAAAGAAAAAAUCACUCUGGUAUAGAAGUUUAGAUGAGGUUGUGGAGAAGCUUGUAGACUUUGUCCAUUUUUUGCAUUUGGAGAUAAACAAUGCCUUUGGUAGAGCAGACUGCCACAAACCAUUAGCUGGAAACUUGAGCAAUUGCCAGAGAUUGGGCCCUGCAGGCCUUGCUUUGCAUUAUGCAAAUAUAGUGCUUCAAAUUGAUACUCUUGUAGCCGGGACUACAAUUGCAAAUACAAAGGAUGCAUUAUAUCAAAGUCUGCCUCCUAAGAUAAAAUUAGCUCUGCGUUCCAAAUUACCAUCCCUCCGUGUUGUAGAAGAGAAUCUUGCAGUUAACUGUACCAGUUAUCAAAUAUUGGAUGGAGAAAUUAUUACAUAUUUUGGUUCCCAUGGCCACUAAUACAUCCAAGUAAAAUAUCUGGCCAUUGUCAACUAGCUCCUUACUACCUAUGUGAAAAGCUUUCUUCAACCAUCAGUAUAUUUACCUUCUAUAUAACUAACUCUAUUCGUUGUUGGCUUUUCUUUUGGUGGUUUUACAAUUCAGAGCACAUCAUAGAUUUGGUUGGGUAGGGGAGUGGGCAAACACAGGCUAUGAGGUAAACAGGAAGAGUGAUAUAAUGCGGAUUGAGACAUUCCAGCAUGCAGACAAAGAAAAAGUGGAAUAUUAUAUUCUUGAACUUCUCCUAUGGCUUCAUCGCUUGGCCAUCAGAAGUAAGGCUGACAGUGAUGCUGGCUAAGUAAGGUGUGCCAUCAGGUCCCCUUUUUGAGCUACUUUUUGUAGAAGACAAUGAAGCACUCUACAAAUGCAGUAUUACCAUUUGAGAUGAUAGAAUUGAAUUUGUUCUCCUUAUUCAAGUGGCUAGUACAUCUAAAAUUUCUAAUUUUAUACAGGGAGAUUAAAAAGGAAAAAGAAUCAAUCCUAAUAAAGGAAAUGAUUGCUUAAUUAGUUCCCUAACUAAAUCUUUUGAUUUCAGGGAUCAGGGGUUGUCGGUAAAUUUUCCUAAUAAUUGUAUUUGUAGCAAAUAUUCUUCUAAUAAUUAUAUUUGCAAAAUAUA